rnacentral:lncRNA from 1 species
AUUCUUUAUGGCCUUGCUGUGAUUUGCUCCUUCUACCGGAUCCCUAUGGGUCACUGAGUAGGUGCUGGGCCACUCAAGGGGCUGUGGGAAGACUGAUGAGAGGCAUUGCUCAGCCUCUCAGAGCAAAGUGGAGCUACAGGCAUGGCCAUAGGCAAGCAUGCUGUCCCCAGCCACUAAGGGACAGAGCAGCAAGCCUCAGACAGACCUGAGAAGAGGGGGCAUGAUGGGCUGAAUCGUGACCCCCAAAAGAUGUUGAAGCCCUAAUCUCCAGUACCUGUGAAUAAGAUCUUGUUUGGAAAUAGUCUUUGCAAAUGAUCAAUUUAAGAUAAGACCAUUAGGGUGGGAUCUAAUCCAAUAUUACCACUAUCCUUACAAAAAGAGGAAAUUUGGACACAGAGCCAGACACAUGGAGGGAAGAUGAUUUCAAGACAUAGGAAGAAGAUGACCACCUUCAAGCCAAGGAAUGCCCAAGGCUACCAGAAGCCAGAAAAGAGGCCAGGAACAGAUUCUUCUUCAUUGCUGUCAGAAGGAACCAACCCUGCUAGCACCUUGAUCUUGGACUUCCAGCCUCAGAAAAGAGGCCAGGAACAGAUUCUUCUUCAUUGCUGUCAGAAGGAACCAACCCUGCUAGCACCUUGAUCUUGGACUUCCAGCCUCAGAAAAGAGGCCAGGAACAGAUUCUUCUUCAUUGCUGUCAGAAGGAACCAACCCUGCUAGCACCUUGAUCUUGGACUUCCAGCCUCAGAACUGUGUGACAAUGAAUGUCCAUUAUCUGAGACACUCUCUCAGUGUCCUUUGUCACAGCAACCCCAGGGAACUCAUACAGGAGGCAAGUGGCUUCCCCCACCAUAGCUCUGUGGUCUCCUGGGUGGGACCUGCUGUGUUGCUCUCAGAGGCUGCUUAAAAACAGCUGGCCCUGGGCCACUCUGCUGGGGCUCCUGCUUGAAGGAAGGACAGAACUUCAGGUGUAUUUAUAUGAAAUAUACAAUUACUAUACCCUCUCCAAGAAAGCACUUAAUAGAUGACCACUCCAGAAAAAGAAUUUCCUGGAAUGUUUGCUAAAAUGAAGACUCCCAGAGGCCUCCACAGAUCUACAGAAUAAGAAUCUCUCAUGAUGGGACUCAGAAAUCUCCAAUCAAUCAUCCACCCUCCUCCUCCCUACCCCAGGAUACUGAUGCAGACAGCCUGGCCACCCCUUUUGGAGAAACACGAUUGCAGAUGACUGAUUAAAUUGUAUGGCUUUACCUCUCUUAUAUAUGCAUUUUGGGAAGCAAUACAAUUUCUGCAGGUUAAAGCCAAAGGAAUGAUGAUCUAGCUGUGAAAUGUUAGACUUCGUUGAGUUGGGUGGUGGAGACACCUCCUCAACUAGCUCUUCAGCCUAGGCUGGGCUCGUUCCUCCAGUAAAUGAAAUCUAGAAGAAAUUUCCCAUCAUGUGCAGAAAUACGAACUACACACAGCAGAUUUUCAACUUCUACAAGAAGAUGGCAGAAGACAUGAACAAUGAAUUGGAAAGAAUCACUUCCUUUUACCAAAAGGAGAUUCUCUUCUAUGAGGAAGAGCUCAAGAAAGCUGGGCAGCAGUUCUGCUGACUGAGAUAAAGCUCCAUGAGCUAAAACAACAAAAUGAUGGCAACAGGCAAAUCAUGGCUGAUGUGGAGUUCAAGUUCCAGCCUUUCCCAAGCAGCCCCUUUGCUCCUGCUGCUCCAGGCGCAGCUCACAGAGGAGUGGAAGUACUAGGGGCCCCCUGGGUCAUCAGGUUCCCAGCAAGGAAGAGGCAGGUGCUGUGAGGCUCAGGGAUCCAGGGGUACCUGCAGGUUUCACUCAGAGUUUAUGAUUUGUUUGUUUUCGUCCUUAAAAGUAAUUUUCAUUUAUCUUCUAGUUAAGCUACUGUUAUUUAAUUGAUGUGCAAUUUCUCUUUCUGAAGUUUUAUAGUACUAUAAUUUCUAAAAUUGUAUUUUUAAAUAUACAUUUAUUUAAAAUAGCUCUUAUGAAUACAUUAUUUCAAAAUCAUUGGACCCUCUAAAAUUAUAUGCAUAAGUAUUAUAUUUUGAUUUAAAUAACAGGUCCACUAUGAUUUAAACUGUCAUCAAAAUUGGACAUGAAUAGAAACAUGGAAAACAAUAAAGUUCACUUCUGUAAGCUAUUAUUA